GACGAACGCUGGCGGCGUGCUUAACACAUGCAAGUCGAACGGAAAGGCCCUGCUUGCAGGGUACUCGAGUGACGAACGGGUGAGUAACACGUGGGUGAUCUGCCCUGCACUUCGGGAUAAGCCUGGGAAACUGGGUCUAAUACCGGAUAGGAGCCAUUUUUAGUGUGAUGGUUGGAAAGUUUUUUCGGUGUAGGAUGAGCUCGCGGCCUAUCAGCUUGUUGGUGGGGUAAUGGCCUACCAAGGCGGCGACGGGUAGCCGGCCUGAGAGGGUGGACGGCCACAUUGGGACUGAGAUACGGCCCAGACUCCUACGGGAGGCAGCAGUGGGGAAUAUUGCACAAUGGGCGCAAGCCUGAUGCAGCGACGCCGCGUGGGGGAUGACGGCCUUCGGGUUGUAAACUCCUUUCGCUAGGGACGAAGCUUUUGUGACGGUACCUAGAUAAGAAGCACCGGCUAACUACGUG
rnacentral:rRNA from 1 species